rnacentral:tRNA from 1 species
ACCGAAGUAGCUCAGUUGGGAGAGCGUUAGCCUGAAAGCGUUAGCCUGAAGAUUCUAACUGUCCCUGGUUCGAGUCCGGGUUUCGGCA